rnacentral:lncRNA from 1 species
CUCUGUUAGUUAUAAAUUCCCUAAUGCUUUGAGCCAAAUUAAUUGUCAUUCCUUCAUAGGACAUCUUACAUUUCUGGCUACUGUUAAGGUAUUAUCUUUGUACUUGGCAUUCUUACAUAGCUUACUCUAAUCUAUCCAGGGAUGCAUUUCCUUAUGUCUACCCUAAUAUUUAGGACUACAUUUUCCUUGAAUCUGAGAGCUCAGAACUGUUCUCAAUCACUAUAUUUUUAUUCCUAUAUAUUUCCUUCUGUUCUUUUCAAAUCUUCCCUGUCUUUUGUCUUCCCUUGGUGGCAGCUUGCUGUUUUCUCUUUUUUUUUUAAUUUUCCAUUGUGUCUUUAAUUCUAUCUCAUAAUCUUUAUUUUGAUAAUAUUGUUGCCUGAAGCUCUUAGGAAUUUAAUCCCACUGUUUGUUAUAUCUUUGAACUUGCUCAGAGUUUAUUUUUCUCCCUUGGAUUGGCACUUUUGGAUUGUGAGCUCAUCUUCAUUGCAGUUUUUCUGUAGGAAUGCUUUGUGUACAUCCACAGAGAUUUUGUGUUUUCUCCUGCCAGGUGCUCCAGGGUUAAUUUUAUCUAAAUUGCUCAGAUUGGGGGCUCCAUGUCACUCAGAUAGUAUAAAUUCACACCCCAAAUACACCUGAGGAUAGCCACUACAUACAAAUUCUCAAGGACAACCAUUUUCUCCUACUCAGAAUCAGGCCAAGGUUGACAGGCUUUCUGUUAUUUCCCUGUGCCAAUGGCUGGAUUGUUCUUCUGGUCCACCUUUUCAUUGGAAGUGUAAUUCUUCAAAGGCAGAAGACAACUCUUGUAUAGGAAACUCAGUUCUAAUUUCCAGCCUCUUAUGGGCUCAAAGAUUCAUUUCCUAUUUCUGCAUGGCCAUUAAAAUCCAAAAAUUCAUUAGUUAAAAAGACAUACAAAGUAACCUCAACUCCCACCUUUGCCAUCCCAUGCCUUCCCCCAGCAUAGCCCUAGCAUCGGUUAUCUUAUAUUUCUGGUUUCUGUUUCCUCUUUGGUUUGGGCCUCCACAAGGGAUUUCCCUUAUCUUUUCACCAGAGAGGUUAGUGCCUGUGGAAGCACUCACUGUCUUCUAAUAAAAGUUCUUUCCAAUACCUUCGUCAAAACAGUCAUUUGUAAAUCAGCCAAUAUUUUUACAGCUCAAAGAGCAUUUUCAUGCCACUUAUCUUAUGAAAGUUGAGUGUCCACCUCUGACGAGUGAAAAAAAAAUAUAUGAGACUGAGGCGAUUAAGCAAGUUGCUUGCCCUGGUCAUUGUUAUGUAGUCAGCAGAACUAGAACUUUACUAUUUUUAGCAGAAAACACUGUUCAUAAAUUCUUAUAAGGGUAGGUGCCAGAAUUUGCUCUCCUGCUGCUACACUGUCCCAGACACUACCUAUAGGAGCUUAACCAACAUUAAAAGUUAAAUUAAACAGCUCUUAAAAUCUUGUCUUAAAAUGGUAGUUGUGCAAUUUCUGAGUGAUGCUAGCCAAGGGUGGAUUCCCCAGAGCUUGGAAGUAAACCAGAAAAGAACAAUGAGAUGUCCAGGCAUCGGGAAGUGGGUCCUAGAAGGUGAGGCCUGGAGAAAUUGGACAUUGCAUAGUCUGGGGCAACGUGCUGGGGUCCAGCACUGUCUGUGGCUGGCUCCUGUGUCAAAGGCUGCUGGGGGUGCAGCAAGAGGGACAUGGAGAGCCCGUGUGACUCACCCUGCCUUUCAUCUGCAUUUGCUCUCUUGGCAAGAGUGAUUUUCAUUGUACCAUAAGCUCAGUGUUACCAAACCCAUUUGGAGUGAUGCACUGACUGAAACUGCUCCUCAAGGAGAAAGGACUAACACCGGCUUCCAAACGGAGGCUUUGCUAUGUGAGUCUUGGCUUCUUGGCUUUCCCCAUGAAGAACUUCCUGUCGGCCCACAGACAGCAAGUGAGCUGCGGGAAAGCGCUGGCUGCUAGCCUCCUCCUUCCGCACUGGACCAGGGGCAGGGGCUCCUCUCAGAGACCAACCAGAGCAAAGCAGCUUGCAGGGCAAGGCCCAAAGGAGGAUCAGAGGCCCAAAGGAGGAGCAGAACCCAGAAGCAGAAGUCAGACCACGGGCGGGUAGGGACAGGUGAGCUGGGGAUAGAACCACUGAUCUGAGGCCCGAGGGGCAGUAACCACGUGGGCCUGAUCCAGGAGGGUCCCUAGAACCGGCGCUGUGGUUGCUGGCUGGUUUUCCUUGGAGGCUGGGGCACGAUGCAAGAGCAGUGAGUCUGAGUCUAACAUGUUAGGGAUGGGCAGGCAGCCCCAAGAUUGCAGCACGGAGUGGCCAGAACAUACCCCUGGAGGUGCCUGUGCAACCCUUCUCCACAGUGGGGUAGCGCACAGCCUGCUCUCCACUGAUCCCAGCUUCCCAGCGCCCUCCCCAGCAUCUGGCGGCCUGCGGAGCCUCCCACUCCGAGGAGGUCUCCUCCAUGGACUCCAGGCAGAGGAGGACGCUGUCCUGCAUGCAUCGCUCCCUUCAAUGUCCCAUGCCCAGGAGGCUGCGCCACAUUCUUGGCAGGCGGGGCCUGCCUCAUCCUGCUUUGCUGUACAUGUGGGCCCCAUUUGCAGGGGGCACCGCGCUGGGGUGGAGGAGAUCCAGAGGGGUGGCUGUGGGACUGGCCUUAAACACUUCCACCUGAGAAUGUGGAGGGAACACCCCCCAAGGCGAUGAAAGGGACCAGAGAGCAGGACGCUACGCACCGGGGUGCAGGGCCAGCCCACUGCACCUUCUUGCCACUCAGGGCUGGCAGCUACCAGGCUACCCCAAGGAGGCCAACCCCCAGGCUCUCAUCGUGGCUGCUGCCCCAGCAUCCGUGGCAGCCCAUCGCUACAGCAUUGGUGGGGACAUCUGCAGGCUCUGCCAGCCUGGAGCCCUGCCCUGCAGCUGGUGAGGCACCCCCACAAGGUGCCAGAGACCACCUGGUCCAACCAUCACUUCCCACACAAACAAACCAAGAUGCAGGACAAAGCCGCGGGAAGGGCAAAGCCCUCCCAGCACUGGCUGUGCCUAGUCCCUGCAAUCUGACCUCACUGCUCCAAUGCCAUUAGCUCCAGAACAUCCCACGGGGAACUGAGAGCGGGCACAGGGUUCAAGCACAGGCAUGGCAGAAUGUGCUGUGCAUUGUUUCAAGGUCCUCUCGGUGGCUGCAUUUCCCAGUUGAGGGGAGAGAGGCCUGGGGAGAGGCAGAGCUCUUAGAGCCCGGGAGGACAUUCUUGCUUCAAGGCUCAAGUAGGGGGAUGAGAAGGAGGACCCUUGGCCGAGAAAUUUCAAAAAAGGGAGAGAGAGGGGUGGGUGGGAGGCUAACACAAUUUAUGGGCCCUCAGAGCCGCGCCAGCUUGAGGUGGCGGAGCCUCUUGGCCCGGGGCCUGCCUGCUGACUUGAGCUUUGAAAAACAACUUCCUGUCAAUAAAUGUGAACAAAAGUUUGGACCCAUCUUCAAAGUGAUGAGUUAUGCUGAAAGUAUGUUCCUGCAAACGGGGGGAAU